CGUGUCGGGCUAGGUCCACUGAGACUGAGCUGAAAUCGCCUGCACUUGCUAGUGCUGGUUUUGCAGUCUAUCCCCACCACCCGAGCCACUGCCGCCAUGGGCUUGGAGCUUUACCUCGACCUCCUGUAGCAACCUUGCCGCGCCGUCUACAUCUUCGCCAAGAAGAACGGCAUCCCUUUCCAGAUGCACACCGUGGAUUUACUCAAAGGGCAACACGUAAGCGAGCAAUUCUUGCAGUUGAAUUGCCAGCGGAAAGUUCCUGUCCUCAAAGACGGAAAUUUCGUGUUGACCUAAAGGGGGACGUGGCUAGACCUGACAAUCUGUGAAUGAGGCCAGGAUGACUGGGGCUGAUCCAGUAUAUCCCAGUCCCUGUCCAUUUCUUCUGCUGGACUCCCCCCACCCAUCUUUUAGACCUCGCCACCAUGACUGAGGUACGGUAUUGAAAGGUGACAACGGGGACGUUUGUCCAGAGAUACACGAAAUGGAGAUGCAAUAAUGAAGGCUAGAAGGAGUUUCUCCUGACUUCCCAGAACUUCCCUGUCUACUCUGCUAAAGGCUUGCCCCUGGGGACCAAGGAAACGAUCAGGUCUCCAGGUGCUGGCUGGUUCUCCCACUAGUUUAGUGACAAAAGCUCUGGAGGAGCUCUUGCCGUGUGGGGGAGAGGGGUUCACGCGCAGCCCCGCAGAGAAGAAAGAUCGAGCAGAGAGAGAGAUAGGUGAGGAGACUAGAAGAAAGUACUUCAAAUGUGAGACUCCCCGAGGUCCCACCGAAAAAUGGGAAAACAGUCAAGGGUCUUACAGCCCCUCUUCCCACGGUCCCCAGCUCAGCCAUCCUGAUGUACCUGAGUUCCAAGUACCAGGUGGCGGACCACUGGUACCCAGCUGACCUGCAAGCCCGUGCCCGCGUCCAUGAGUAUCUAGGCUGGCAUACUGAUAACAUCCGUGGCAUCUUUGGAGUGCCCCUGUGGACCAAGGUGUUGGGGCCACUCAUUGGGACCCAGAUUCCAGAGGAGAAAGUGGAACGGAACCUAAAGAAUAUGUUCGAGUCUCUGCAGCGUCUGGAGGAAAAGUUCUUUGGGGAUGGGACCUUCCUUACUGGCCAUCAGGUGAUGCUGGCUGAUCUCGUGUGUCUGGAGGAGCUGAUGCAGGUACGUGACCAGUGAGUGGAAGAGUAACUAAGGGCAGGACCCUUCUUGCCACUUACGUAAGUCAGAAGCACUGUGACCUGGGAAAAGCCAGAAUCACAGAGCAGACCCUGAGUGACUUGUUUCCUGCCUGGGUGGGAGGCAGCUUCUGGCUACUGUCAGGUCUUGGAAUGGAUUACACUGCCCUGGACCUCCCAUGGGGCUGUGUCCAUCACGCUUGGGCUGAGUCACCAGCAAUGGGGUCUCAUUAGCUCUCCAGCUUUCACAUUUUUGUCCCUGCAGCCGGUGGCUCUUGGCUAUAAUCUGUUUGAGGGACGGCCACAAUUGACAGCAUGACGAGUGCGGGUGGAGGCAUUCUUGGGUGCCCAUCUGUGUCAGCAGGCCCUUGGCCGUAUCCUGAGCAUCCGGGAACAGGCAGCCAAAAACGCACUACCUGUACCCUAUCCAGAGGUCCAGUCCAGAAUGAUGCUUCGAAUUGCUAGGAUUCCCUGAGUUCUAACUAGCAAUAAAGCUUCAUGUUGGCUCUGUAUAUCUUUUCUACUUGCCCCAAUCCUUCUUCUGGCUCCUUUUCUAUCUCUGCACAAAAGGGACACCAGGUAUCCUUAGAUGCUUCUCUUGAGGAACCAAUAAGAGACCAAAAUCAAUAUGCUAAAAACCAGCAACACAAAGAAAAACAACCCAUUCAAGAGUUGGGACACAUCUGUAUUUUAUUACAAUAAAAAGUCUGACUAUUUUAAGGAA